CCUACGGGAGGCAGCAGUGGGGAAUAUUGGACAAUGGGGGCAACCCUGAUCCAGCCAUGCCGCGUGUGUGAAGAAGGCCCUCGGGUUGUAAAGCACUUUCAGUGAGGAAGAACGCCUGGUGGUUAAUACCCAUCAGGAAAGACAUCACUCACAGAAGAAGCACCGGCUAACUCCGUGCCAGCAGCCGCGGUAAUACGGAGGGUGCGAGCGUUAAUCGGAAUUACUGGGCGUAAAGCGCGCGUAGGUGGCUUGAUAAGCCGGUUGUGAAAGCCCCGGGCUCAACCUGGGAACGGCAUCCGGAACUGUCAAGCUAGAGUGCAGGAGAGGAAGGUAGAAUUCCCGGUGUAGCGGUGAAAUGCGUAGAGAUCGGGAGGAAUACCAGUGGCGAAGGCGGCCUUCUGGACUGACACUGACACUGAGGUGCGAAAGCGUGGGUAGCAAACAGGAUUAGAUACACCAGUAGUC
rnacentral:rRNA from 1 species